UCCGUUGUACAGGGUAGCGUUUUGGAAAUACGCGGCCGGCAUCUCAUCAUAAUUUCUUUAUGUGUGUGUGUCUCAUUCUGUGAAACGCUUUGUACGAGAAGCCGUCGUGUGGCUGGAAAAAUGGAAACUGGGACUAGGCAACAACAGUGACUAAGUAAGACCCAUGCUUUGACGCAGCAUGCCAGCAGGCUUCUUCUUGGAGGUGUUGACCCUGGCGAAAACGAUUAUCCAGGCCACCCCAUGCAGCGUCAUUGCUGCUACUGCAAUCCGGACGCCCUUAGGGGUAUCAUUCGUGAUUGUCUGAUAGCCUGAUAGUCUGAUGAAGCAUUAUUAGAUUU